GGAGAAGUGUCCGAGCGGUUUAAGGAGGCGGUCUUGAAAACCGUUGACGUGAAAGCGUCCGUGGGUUCGAAUCCCACCUUCUCCG
rnacentral:tRNA from 4 species